AUUGAACGCUGGCGGCAGGCCUAACACAUGCAAGUCGAGCGGAUGAAGGGAGCUUGCUCCUGGAUUCAGCGGCGGACGGGUGAGUAAUGCCUAGGAAUCUGCCUGGUAGUGGGGGAUAACGUCCGUACACGGGCGCUAAUACCGCAUCCGUCCUGAGGGAGAAAGUGGGGGAUCUUCGGACCUCACGCUAUCAGAUGAGCCUAGGUCGGAUUAGCUAGUUGGUGGGGUAAAGGCCUACCAAGGCGACGAUCCGUAACUGGUCUGAGAGGAUGAUCAGUCACACUGGAACUGAGACACGGUCCAGACUCCUACGGGAGGCAGCAGUGGGGAAUAUUGGACAAUGGGCGAAAGCCUGAUCCAGCCAUGCCGCGUGUGUGAAGAAGGUCUUCGGAUUGUAAAGCACUUUAAGUUGGGAGGAAGGGCAGUAAGUGAAUACCUUGCUGUUUUGACGUUACCAACAGAAUAAGCACCGGCUAACUUCGUG
rnacentral:rRNA from 1 species